rnacentral:rRNA from 1 species
UGCGUAGGCGGAAUGAUAAGUUAGUGGUGAAAGCCCCCGGCUCAACCGGGGAACUGCCAUUAAUACUGUCAUUCUUGAGUAUAGUUGAAGUGGGCGGAAUGUAUCAUGUAGCGGUGAAAUGCUUAGAUAUGAUACAGAACACCGAUAGCGUAGGCAGCUUGCUAAACUAUAACUGACGCUCAGGCACGAAAGCGUGGGGAGCAAACAGGAUUAGAUACCUGGUAGUCC